rnacentral:rRNA from 1 species
UACGAAGGGGGCUAGCGUUGCUCGGAAUCACUGGGCGUAAAGCGCACGUAGGCGGAUUGUUAAGUCGGGGGUGAAAUCCUGGAGCUCAACUCCAGAGCUGCCUUUGAUACUGACGAUCUCGAGUCCGGGAGAGGUGAGUGGAACUGCGAGUGUAGAGGUGAAAUUCGUAGAUAUUCGCAAGAACACCAGUGGCGAAGGCGGCUCACUGGCCCGGUACUGACGCUGAGGUGCGAAAGCGUGGGGAGCAAACAGG